GCCGGGCAUGGUGGCUCAUGCCUAUAAUCCCAGCAUUUUGGGAGGCCGAGGCAGGUGGAUCACCUGAGGUCAGGAGUUCAAGACCAGCCUGGCCAACAUGGUGAAACCCUGUCUCUA
rnacentral:SRP_RNA from 1 species